UCCGGUUGAUCCUGCCGGAGGUUACUGCUAUCGGUGUUCGCCUAAGCCAUGCGAGUCAUAUGUAGUAAUACAUGGCGUACUGCUCAGUAACACGUGGAUAACCUGCCCUUGGGACCGGCAUAACCCCGGGAAACUGGGGAUAAUUCCGGAUAACGCAUAUGUGCUGGAAUGCUUUAUGCGUAAAAUGGAUUCGUCUGCCCAAGGAUGGGUCUGCGGCCUAUCAGGUAGUAGUGGGUGUAAUGUACCUACUAGCCAGCGACGGGUACGGGUUGUGAGAGCAAGAGCCCGGAGAUGGAUUCUGAGACAUGAAUCCAGGCCCUACGGGGCGCAGCAGGCGCGAAAACUUUACAAUGCGGGAAACCGUGAUAAGGGGACACCGAGUGCCAGCAUCAUAUGCUGGCUGUCCAGGUGUGUAAAAUACACCUGUUAGCAAGGGCCGGGCAAGACCGGUGCCAGCCGCCGCGGUAACACCGGCGGCCCGAGUGGUGAUCGUGAUUAUUGGGUCUAAAGGGUCCGUAGCCGGUUUGGUCAGUCCUCCGGGAAAUCUGAUAGCUUAACUAUUAGGCUUUCGGGGGAUACUGCCAGACUUGGAACCGGGAGAGGUAAGAGGUAC
rnacentral:rRNA from 1 species